rnacentral:lncRNA from 1 species
UUCCUUCUGGAGAUAAGAUUGGACAACUUGUUACUCAUUUAUAUUACUGUACCAACUGAUACCGAAAAUCUCCACAUUUCAGGAGGCUGAAGAAAAUAACCAGAACAUCGAACCCGAGUUCCACUCUUUUAACUACGAUGAACAAGCCCAUCAAGCGCAAGCCAAAUCAGACGCAUCCUCAGGUUUGGUAACGGCCACAUAUUCUCUUGGACCUGGACAAGAGAAAUUAAACAAAGAGCCAAACAUUAACUCGAGAAGUUCUUCAGUUGAUCCGUUGACCCAGUCUCAAAUUGUUCAAAGCUAUUUUGAUACAAGGGCUGGAAAUGAUGUACAACCCGAUGCAAAACCAAGCGGAUCUGGAGCAGCGGAGAAAGACAGACUCAACUCAUUUUAUAGUUCGUUACCCAGCAAGGACGCCGCUGAUCGACUUGCCACAUUACAAGCAGCUGGUAAGGUCAAUAGUAAUUUGAUGCAAAUGGGAAGUCCUCAAGUCAACCAAGACGAAAAAGAUGACGCUCUUCCUGCUGAAAGUGAAGAAUCUGAUAGUAGGGAACAAUUAGUAGACUAUGACGACUAUUCUCAAGAAAGUGACGAAGCCCAAUCCGAUGAACAAAGUGGAUUUGGACAAAAACUAAGGAUAUAAGAUUUAAGUUUAGGUUUUUAAUUUAUUUAUUUAUUUAAGAGUCAUUAUUUAUUUCCUCAUUGUUCGUGUUCAUAAAUGUUCAAUCAUUAUUAUUAGGUUAGAAGAGUUGUUAUCUGGUUGAAUGUUAAUAUAUGAUGUUGAAUAUUUU